UACGUAGGGGGCAAGCGUUGUUCGGAAUUACUGGGCGUAAAGCGCGCGUAGGCGGCUUUGUAAGUUAGAGGUGAAAGCCCGGGGCUCAACCCCGGAAUUGCCUUUAAGACUGCAUCGCUUGAAUCCGGGAGAGGUGAGUGGAAUUCCGAGUGUAGAGGUGAAAUUCGUAGAUAUUCGGAAGAACACCAGUGGCGAAGGCGGCUCACUGGACCGGCAUUGACGCUGAGGUGCGAAAGCGUGGGGAGCAAACAGG
rnacentral:rRNA from 1 species